rnacentral:rRNA from 1 species
UACGUAGGGGUGCAAGCGUUUAAUCGGAAUUACUGGGCGUAAAGGCGUGCGCAGGCGGGUUCGCUAAGGACAAGAUGUGAAAUCCCCGGGCUUAACCUGGGAACUGCAUUUGUGACUGGCGGGCUAGAGUGAUGGCAGAGGGGGGUAGAAUUCCACGUGUAGCAGUGAAAUGCGUAGAGAUGAUGGAGGAAUACCGAUGGCGAAGGCAGCCCCCUGGGCCAAUACUGACGCUCAUGACGACGGAAAGCGUGGGGAGCAAACAGG